rnacentral:rRNA from 1 species
UACGGGAGGCAGCAGUAGGGAAUCUUCGGCAAUGGACGGAAGUCUGACCGAGCAACGCCGCGUGAGUGAAGAAGGUUUUCGGAUCGUAAAGCUCUGUUGUAAGAGAAGAACGAGUGUGAGAGUGGAAAGUUCACACUGUGACGGUAUCUUACCAGAAAGGGACGGCUAACUACGUGCCAGCAGCCGCGGUAAUACGUAGGGUGCGAGCGUUGUCCGGAAUUACUGGGCGUAAAGAGCUCGUAGGUGGUUUGUCGCGUCGUCUGUGAAAUUCCGGGGCUUAACUUCGGGCGUGCAGGCGAUACGGGCAUAACUUGAGUGCUGUAGGGGAGACUGGAAUUCCUGGUGUAGCGGUGGAAUGCGCAGAUAUCAGGAGGAACACCGAUGGCGAAGGCAGUUCUCUGGGCCGUUACUGACGCUGAGGAGCGAAAGCGUGGGGAGCGAACAGGAUUAGAUACCCUGGUAG